rnacentral:rRNA from 1 species
CUGAUGCAGCCAUGCCGCGUGAGUGAUGAAGGCCUUAGGGUUGUAAAGCUCUUUUAGCAAAAAUGAUAAUGACAGUACCUGGAGAAUAAGCUCCGGCUAACUCCGUUCCAGCAGCCGCGGUAAUACGGAGGGAGCUAGCGUUGUUCGGAAUUACUGGGCGUAAAGCGCGCGUAGGCGGUUUUUCAAGUCAGAGGUGAAAGCCCGGGGCUCAACCCCGGAACUGCCUUUGAAACUGGAUGACUAGAAUCUUGGAGAGGCGAGUGGAAUUCCGAGUGUAGAGGUGAAAUUCGUAGAUAUUCGGAAGAACACCAGUGGCGAAGGCGACUCGCUGGACAAGUAUUGACGCUGAGGUGCGAAAGUGUGGGGAGCAAACAGGAUUAGAUACCCUGGUAGUCCACACCGUAAACGACUCUCUUUAGCUGUCCGGGCUCUUGGAGUUUGGGUGGCGCAGCUAACGCAUUAAGUUAUCCGCCUGG